UGGCGGCGUGGAUAAGACAUGCAAGUCGAACGAGAGAAUUGCUAGCUUGCUAAUAAUUCUCUAGUGGCGCACGGGUGAGUAACACGUGAGUAACCUGCCCCCGAGAGCGGGAUAGCCCUGGGAAACCGGGAUUAAUACCGCAUAGUAUCGAAAGAUUAAAGCAGCAAUGCGCUUGGGGAUGGGCUCGCGGCCUAUUAGUUAGUUGGUGAGGUAACGGCUCACCAAGGCGAUGACGGGUAGCCGGUCUGAGAGGAUGUCCGGCCACACUGGAACUGAGACACGGUCCAGACACCUACGGGUGGCAGCAGUCGAGAAUCAUUCACAAUGGGGGAAACCCUGAUGGUGCGACGCCGCGUGGGGGAAUGAAGGUCUUCGGAUUGUAAACCCCUGUCAUGUGGGAGCAAAUUAAAAAGAUAGUACCACAAGAGGAAGAGACGGCUAACUCUGUGCCAGCAGCCGCGGUAAUACAGAGGUCUCAAGCGUUGUUCGGAAUCACUGGGCGUAAAGCGUGCGUAGGCUGUUUCGUAAGUCGUGUGUGAAAGGCGCGGGCUCAACCCGCGGACGGCACAUGAUACUGCGAGACUAGAGUAAUGGAGGGGGAACCGGAAUUCACGGUGUAGCA
rnacentral:rRNA from 1 species